rnacentral:rRNA from 17 species
UCUGGUGAUGAUGGCGAAGAGGUCACACCCGUUCCCAUACCGAACACGGAAGUUAAGCUCUUCAGCGCCGAUGGUAGUCGGGGGUUUCCCCCUGUGAGAGUAGGACAUCGCCAGGC